AUUGAACGCUGGCGGCAGGCCUAACACAUGCAAGUCGAGCGGAGCGGCGGACGGGUGAGGAAUGCCUAGGAAUCUGCCUGUUAGUGGGGGAUCCCGUCCGGAAACGGGCGCUAAUACCGCAUACUAUCAGAUGAGCCUAGGUCGGAUUGGCUAAUUGGUGGGGUAAAGGCCUACCAAGGCGACGAUCCGUAACUGGUCUGAGAGGAUGAUCAGUCAAACGGGGACUGAGACACGGUCCAGACUCCUACGGGAGGCAGCGUUGGGGAAUAUUGGACAAUGGGCGAAAGCCUGAUCCAGCCAUGCCGCGUGUGUGAAGAAGGUCUUCGGAUUGGAAAGCACUUUAAGUUGGGAGGCGUUACCAGCAGAAUAAGCACCGGCUAACUUCGUGCCAGCCGCCGCGGUAAUAC
rnacentral:rRNA from 1 species